UACGUAGGGGGCAAGCGUUGUCCGGAUUUAUUGGGCGUAAAGAGUUCGUAGGUGGUUUGUUAAGUCUGGUGUUAAAGAUCGGGGCUCAACCUCGGGAGUGCAUUGGAUACUGGCAGACUUGAGUAUGGUAGAGGCAAGUGGAAUUCCCAGUGUAGCGGUGAAAUGCGUAGAUAUUGGGAAGAACACCAGCGGCGAAGGCGGCGCUCUGGGCCGGUACUGACACUGAGGAGCGAAAGCGUGGGUAGCAAACAGG
rnacentral:rRNA from 1 species